rnacentral:rRNA from 1 species
CCUACGGGAGGCAGCAGUGGGGAAUUUUGGACAAUGGGCGCAAGCCUGAUCCAGCCAUGCCGCGUGCAGGAUGAAGGCCUUCGGGUUGUAAACUGCUUUUGUACGGAACGAAAAGACUCUGGUUAAUACCUGGGGUCCAUGACGGUACCGUAAGAAUAAGCACCGGCUAACUACGUGCCAGCAGCCGCGGUAAUACGUAGGGUGCGAGCGUUAAUCGGAAUUACUGGGCGUAAAGCGUGCGCAGGCGGUUAUAUAAGACAGAUGUGAAAUCCCCGGGCUCAACCUGGGAACUGCAUUUGUGACUGUAUAGCUAGAGUACGGCAGAGGGGGAUGGAAUUCCGCGUGUAGCAGUGAAAUGCGUAGAUAUGCGGAGGAACACCGAUGGCGAAGGCAAUCCCCUGGGCCUGUACUGACGCUCAUGCACGAAAGCGUGGGGAGCAAACAGGAUUAGAUACCCUGGUAGUCCACGCCCUAAACGAUGUCAACUGGUUGUUGGGUCUUCACUGACUCAGUAACGAAGCUAACGCGUGAAGUUGACCGCCUGGGGAGUACGGCCGCAAGGUUGAAACUCGAAANAGAGUAGAGNGNGAGAGNGCGAGGACGACACGAGGGAGGAGG